CCCCUCCCUCCAUGAUGAAUUUCCCUGAAAUGGAGUUAUGCACCAUAAAAUGAGGAAAAUGGCUCUUUCAAUGGACUGUAAUGACUUUGUUGUUGCUAGGAUGGAGGCCUUGUAGUGUGAUGUACAGAAAGACGGGCCAUUAUUUCAACAGGUUUCAUUUCACACUGGAUCCCUGUUUUGGUGUUGACCAUUACUUUAUAAUAAUUGAUGUCCUGUUCAUGGCAGAAAUGGAAUCUCUCUAUCUAUCUUUCUCUGUCUCACACACGCAGGCACGCUCUCUCAAAUAAGCACGCACUCGUUCUCGCGCUCUCUCGCUCUUACUCUCUAUUUCCCCUCUCCAAUUACUUUUUGCGGUUUUCCACAGAAGUUAAAGAAAUGCAAUGUCAGAUAAACAACUGAUGGCAAAUAUGAAGCAUUCUGCCAGAUAGACUACAAUGUGCAGAUUGCAGACGUGUACCGCGAGUGCAGUGUACCAGUGGCGCCAUCUACAAGGUGAGCAAAGAAGAAUUCGACACAGCUCCGGACUCUCUCUCGGAGGAAUACGGAGUGAGGAUUACACAGUUUCCUCAACGAAUCAGUUGUACUAUAGACAAUGUCGUGGAGGUAAAUUGACACCGAACCUACCUGAAUUGAGGGGGAAACAGAAGCGCCUCUCUCUCUCCCGGGCAUUGCUGGUGGUUGAUUGAAACACUGCCAGGUGGGCAGAGCCUGAGGCCUGAGUUAACAGAUCGCCUGCUGCUGCUGUGUGCGUGGCACGGAUCGUCAGUGACUGUCAUGGAGGAAGUGUGUGUGUUUGGCCUUUGAAGAGCUCUCAUCCAGCACAAAGUAGCCCGGUCCUCCCCCUCCACCCCAUCAUCCUCCCCACCCCCCUCUCCACAGCUAGCGACAGACCCCGGACAAUAGUCUCUCCAAGAUUUAUGAGGCCUGGCUCUUUGUCAAUAAGAGGAGUUUUAUUUCACCACUUUUUUUUUCUCUUGUCUUCUUCCUCUGAAAAAGGUGUGGGACCCAACUGUGAAAUGGGAGACGGCUGUUUGACAUGUGAAGCCCACCUGGAGAAAAUGUCUGCUUUCAGGCCUGGAUAUAAGGAAUUACUCAACAAGAAGGAAACGUCACUGUAGGGAAUGUCGUUUUCCCUCUUCCCUUCUCAUUAACAACAACAUGUC
rnacentral:lncRNA from 1 species